rnacentral:rRNA from 1 species
UGGCGGACGGGUGAGUAACGCGUGGGUAACCUGCCUCAUACAGGGGGAUAACAGUUAGAAAUGACUGCUAAUACCGCAUAAGACCACAGCACCGCAUGGUGCGGGGGUAAAAACUCCGGUGGUAUGAGAUGGACCCGCGUCUGAUUAGGUAGUUGGUGGGGUAACGGCCUACCAAGCCGACGAUCAGUAGCCGACCUGAGAGGGUGACCGGCCACAUUGGGACUGAGACACGGCCCAA